GCCGCGCCGCUCCGCCCCGUCCACGACGUCUCUGCCGCGCGCCGCUCCGCCCCGUCACCGCAGCGCCCCCUCCUACCUCCUACGGCCUCGUCUCCUGCUGUCGAGGGCGGCAGCGACGACAGGCGCGUGCGGGCGCACGAGCGGAGGCAGGUGCGGGCGCGGCCUCGGGUCCUUACCCCUUGCCCCGCUCCGUAACGCCGCCUCCUGUUAUUUCGCCGGCCGCACGAGCGAAACCCGUUCCGCAGCGCCGCUCCUGCUGUACCGGCAGCCGCACGAACGAACCUUCCUACCUCCGGCGGAGCGGCCCCGCGCCCUCGCCAUCGUGCCGCAGCCCCGGCCCCGUCACCAAACUGCCCGCUGCGCUUCCUCCACGACAGGACCGCAGUCGCUGGUCGCGUCCGACGGGCAUAAGGUAUUCGACAGCAUGUUAGAGCGGCAAGAUGGUUGUAGUUACCUGGUGGGUACGAGGUACACUCUGCUAUCGCAGAGUUUCACCUGAAAAUCUAGUAAACUAUUUGCAAACCUUUAAGUUCGGACCAGGACAAGACGUUGGACACUACAAAUGAAGAAUCACCUGAAAUUCAAAGUCAGUGGGUUAUAGCGGUCCAUUAUAUUGUUCCGAUAACAAAACUAGUAUUAGUUCUUACAGACGAAUAGCCUUUCAAUUGGAAAGAGUGGGACGUUCGUUGACGAUGGUAAUAACGAAUCUUCCCCGUCGAAUCACUAUGUUAGAGAACUGAUAUCCCGUCAAUCACUAACGGUAUAAACAACUUAAUUUGAAAGUGGAUAAUCUAGUCAAAUGUGUGAAACUUCAGAUGAAUCACAUGGAGAUUCCAACAGGAAGACGUUUCCAUAUAGUGGAUGUCUACUAGGCUAAAAAGAAGAAGAUCUGGGGGGACACACAUAUAUACUGUCUGUAACAGAAAGACUAAAUAAAAAGGUCAUCUACUAAAACCUCUUCAAAAACUUAGGUACGGAAAAACGAUAUGAUAAAAAAACCCCAUUACUUUAUCUUCAAUAUAUUAAUGUGAAUUCAUCAACUAAAUAGACCGUUAUGUAACAGUGCUACUAUCGAGAUUGGAGAGACGGCUGUUAGACUUUUAACAUCGUAAUAGGAAAUGAUUAAAAUUUACAAUAAAACCACUAACAAAGAGCCUCCUCGUGUGAAACCAAGUCAUCCUUCGUCUACUUACUCUGUAAAAGUAACAAAAGAUAAGGUAACAAUACAUGUGUGUGUGUGUGCUCACCACGUAUUUACAAAAUAACGAUAAAUAGGAAAGUACUCGACCUACACGGUAACUACCGCUACCGCUCGAACCUAAUCAACCUAAGUCUUCCAACUCUGCUACCUACCAAGGUUCCAAACCGGUGUUAUAAACCUCUGUAAAGGACAAUCCUCAAUUCCAAACCGGUGUUAUAAACCUCUGUAAAGGACAAUCCUCAAUUCGAAACCAAACCUCCGUAACUUGAAACCGACAUUUAUUGAUUGAAACAAUGAACCAUAUGAAGACAGUCAAGUACAUUUGUUGAUAGAUGGUGUGGUGUGACCAAUUAGACCCUAAAGGAAGCCCUGGUUUACAUGGUUUAGGACGAAACCCACCUCUAGACUAGUAAGGAUAUAACAAUCUAAACUGAAAGUAGAUACACAACGAGGCGCACAUAGAGCCGUAUUUACCAAGUAGUAUGAUACUAGAUUACAUCACUAAAAUUAAUACAAUGAAGAACUACUUAUACGUAAUGUAACAUAAAAGUACCUUCGGAAAAGAAAGGAGAGAUUAGUAUGAUGCCGAGAAUAGGAACGGAGAUAUACUUGGAUCUUUAUAAUACCGACUGUAUCACUAUGAGAGGGAGUCCCUGUAGGACUGUGUACUACGAGGUAGUUGUUGAAGUCUUAUACUACGACUAGGAGUUGGACGUUGAAACAUCGGUGUGACGGAAAACAAAAUACAUCUUUUAAUUGUCUAAAACAAUACACAAAGUCGUACUCGAUUAUUAAUCUUUCUUGUCUAAAACAAUCAAUACUCUAACCAGGAAGUUAUACCGUAUCUUUUG
rnacentral:rRNA from 1 species